rnacentral:lncRNA from 1 species
CGCGCGCGCCUUGUCCUGGGGCCUUCCGCCCCCUUUCCUCCGCCGUCCAAUCAGAUCGGGCGAGGGGCGCGGAGCCCCGGCAACGCGCAGGCGGCGGCCUUCACGGUUCAAGCACUCUCCCCGCGACUUCGCGAAGCUUUCGUUAUGCUGCGAGUAACGUGGUGGCCAGGAUCUUCAUUCUGCUUUAAGUGCUCCAGGCGCCCUCUAAGAGGCAGAGAAGACUGCAUAGUCCCUGGAAGCCUUCCAGUUUCACUUGCAGAAUUCAGCCUCACUCAUAGUUCUCUGGAUACCUGUUGGCCAUCUGUAAGCUGUUUUGGGAAAAAUAGCUCUUCAGAUUCUCUGCCCAUUUAAAAAACCAGAUUGUGCCUUUCUGCCCACGGACACUACCAAGUCAGCAUUGUGAAAGUCUCCCCUCCCACCACCGUCAUGUCUAAGUCAGAGUCUCCCAAAGACCCUGAAUAGCUGCGGAAUCUCUUCAUCGAGGUUUGAGCUCUGAAACAACCGAUCAGAGU